rnacentral:rRNA from 1 species
GAGGAAGGCUGGCGGCGUGCCUAAUACAUGCAAGUCGAGCGAACAGACGAGGAGCUUGCUCCUCUGACGUUAGCGGCGGACGGGUGAGUAACACGUGGAUAACCUACCUAUAAGACUGGGAUAACUUCGGGAAACCGGAGCUAAUACCGGAUAAUAUAUUGAACCGCAUGGUUCAAUAGUGAAAGACGGUUUUGCUGUCACUUAUAGAUGGAUCCGCGCCGCAUUAGCUAGUUGGUAAGGUAACGGCUUACCAAGGCAACGAUGCGUAGCCGACCUGAGAGGGUGAUCGGCCACACUGGAACUGAGACACGGUCCAGACUCCUACGGGAGGCAGCAGUAGGGAAUCUUCCGCAAUGGGCGAAAGCCUGACGGAGCAACGCCGCGUGAGUGAUGAAGGUCUUCGGAUCGUAAAACUCUGUUAUUAGGGAAGAACAAAUGUGUAAGUAACUAUGCACGUCUUGACGGUACCUAAUCAGAAAGCCACGGCUAACUACGUG